GUGCACCCUAGAGGAGUGAACAUGGGAACACAUGUGCAUUUUGGUAUUUUUGUUUUGGCUAAAAUCUUAAUGCACUUGUGUUCUCAGGUCACCCCUUUGGGGUCACC
rnacentral:pre_miRNA from 1 species